rfam:Anolis carolinensis chromosome 3, whole genome shotgun sequence.
GGGAGCAAAGAGGGAAAGGCCUAAUGGAUGUCACCCCAUUGAUCGCCAGGGUUGAUUCGGCUGAUCUGGCUGGCUUGGCGGGUUUCCCCUUCCUCCCUCACCGCUCCAUGUGCGUCCCUCCCGAAGCUGUGUGCUCGGUGGAAGAGGACGACGUCCCAGGUAUAGAAGGAGUGUACCGAGGUCUCUAGUCUUCGGUCCCGGGUAUACGAUAGCCGCACUCCCCUGCUAGAACCUCCAAACAAGCUCAAGGAAAAGGCCUAAUGCCCCAUUAGAAACCUGCCUCCUAUCUCAAGCUGAAACAAAGAGCACAGCAGGGGGGCAGAGCAGCCUUAAAUAGCCUGCAGCUCU